CAAGAGCUCGGUCCCCGGGGGACUUUAAACUCCAUCUUUUGUUGCGCUCGUUACCACCUCUCCUUUCGUUUCUGGCAGCCGCGAUUAACGAGGCACUGAGCGCACCGCGGGGGCUGCACGGCCACGCAGCCGGGGACGGGCUUUUCGGGACUCCCGAGAGCCACGGCUGUUUAUUUUGGGUCGUUUUGUUGCCGUUUCAGGCUGGUUGGUUUGUGCUGUUUGUUUGUUCCGUGGCGUUUCCCUCCUCCCCCCCCCCUUUCCUUCUAAGAGAUAUUGAGAAAGUUUGCGCUGUCUUGGAAACUACUCCCCCGGCGUGAGGAGGAUAUUCUGGCCAUUCGCCGGAGGCCAUUUUAUGAAGCCUCGAGGAGGUUAAUUUCAGGAACAGGAGGAAUACGAGGGGGCUCCUUUUCCCUUCCCCUGCCGUUCAUUCCAACGAGCUCUGCAGGCCAAACGCUCGCCUGGAUGGGCGAUGGAGACCCAUCCGCACCAGGGGCGAAAAUGGAUGUGCUCCUUCCCAGCUCUGUCCGCACAGAAAGAGAAAGCCUAUAACAUACCUGUGACGGGAAGGGGUGCGUUUAAAGGAGGGUACAGAAUAAGGGGAGCAUCCUUGUCCUACGUAGGCUGCCUAUUCUGUUUUGCUGGAAUUCAGAUUGCGCCUGGCCAACCAUUGGUACAGACAACUGUGGUACUGAAACCGUGCCACUGCAAAACAAAGCUGAGCAAAUGGAAGAAGAAUUAGUCAAACUGCUUAAAAAAUGUUGUCAUGUUUGUUAACAAGCUGCUUAACUCUGGUGCCUAACAAACACUUGGAAAAGAAGUUCUUUUAAUGAAGGAAAAAAAAAAAAAAAAGGCAAUACCCAAUACCCCUGCUUGCUUACAAUUAAAUGAUGACGGCUUAUAAUGCAUUUCUUCAAGACCUCCAGUUAUAUCAGGGCUCAGGAGACUUGAAAUACCAAAUUCAUAGAUUUUUAAACCAAGAAAGGACUGUUAUGAUCAGCUGCUCUGACCCGCUACAUAUCAUGGGCCAGUGAAUUUCAGCCAGACAUUCUUGUAUCAGACUCAUAAAUUCUGGCUGAGCUUUUAGCCUGGCAUCCAAUCUUGCUCUGAAGACUUUUAAGUAACAGAAGCCCCGCCGCCUGCCUCGGUCGUUCCAGUGGUUGUGUCCCUCACUGUUUUUAGAAAAAUGCCCCUGGUUCUGCUCAGAAUUCAUAGAGCUUCAUUUUUCCGAAAUAGGAUCUCAUUAUGCCUUUGUCUGCCACAUUAAAGAGAUCUCUGCUAUCAGAAAUCUCCCCAUAGAGACACUUAGGGCACUUAAGGACUGUGAUCAAACCAAGUCAUAGCCUCCUCUUGGAUAAAUUAAUAGAUGGGAUUUCUUUCGUCUUAUGCAAUAAGAUGUGAUUCCCAGGCCUUGAAUCACUUCUGGAGCUCUUUUCCGAUCCCACAUUAAUUCGCCCGUGUGCUUUUGACAUGCAAACACCACAACAGACCUGGGCGCAGCAUUCCCGUAAAGGUCUCGCUCAAAUCAUAAGCGUUAAUAGCAUCAUUAAGUUUACUUGUUUAAAAUCCUGUGCGGAUUACCUUUAUAGAUGGCCUUAGCAACACCAACUUUAUUAAAAGCCCAUUUAAAAAGCCGCCUGUCUUCAUGCAGACUAGUGUUGUUCAUCAAAUUCACAACGCUGAGCAGCGCUGGACCAAACUGCAGAGCCAGCUUCGUUUCUCUAGCGAGGGCUUUUUCGGUGCUUCAUCAGCCCUCGCCUUCAGCAGAGCCUCAUAUUUUUUCUUUUGUCUGCAAGAAGCAACUGCUGCAUAUUCUUACAACGGCACCAACCCUGGCUGUGCUCUAUCAGAGAGGGGCGUGCGCAGAGCCCUGCUGCACCGUUCCCUCUUGUGCCUCUUCCCCUCCUGCAGCGCCGAAGCCCCCCGUUAAGCUCCCACGAGGCUGGGGGUAGUUCAGCCCUUUCAAAGGCCGUGGUGGGUCUCAGUUUGGAGUCGCUCCUCCCCAGGUAGAUCAGAAACAGCCUCUGUUAGAGCUUCUUCAGCCACUGCUCUCACACCCGAGCCCAUUCCCUUUCACAUGAGUGUCUGCUCUGAGGGACGUACUAUAUGUAGGGUACAGCUGUCCCACCAGAUACCAGCGGAAGCAUGGCCACUGAUAAAGAACUAGGAGCUGUCCUUCCUCUGCCCAUCCUGGCAAUGCCCAUCCAUUUUCCAAGCUUUCUCAGCUCCUGGGAUAGCCUAGCCGUGCAAAUGCAGCCUGGAACGGCAGGAUCGUGGAGGGACCAAGGUCCGUGUGUUACAGAAGAAUUGACUGCGCUGCCCCAGUGCCUUCCUGAUCUCUGAUCUUCUCCAGCUACGCCUGGGGCCUCACACGAAACGCUGUGUGCAAACUUCUCUACCAUCUCACCAGGUGCUGCAAGCCCAGACUCUGUUCUGCACAAGAGGUGGCCCGAGCUGUGGCGGAGCUGCCCGGAGUUAUUUGUGUGAGAGGGACUCCUAAAAACCUCAGCCAGAGCUAGGGCUUCAUCGUCCUAGGACUCGUAUAAGGAGGGAGAAGCAGUCUGUGCGCCAAGGAUCUCUCCCCACAUCAUUUGUACCAUCACAAGCAGAAAAUCACUGAGGACAGACACGAUCUUGAAAAUGGAAGGUGGCAGCACAUGCUGGAGCCUGAGUGAGCAGAGUGAGUCCACCUUCGAGUAGGAAGGCAGCCGUGACCUGCUUAGGAAAGGUGUUCCCAUACGGGAGUCGUUCUCCCCGUGCACAGAGCCGAUUAAGGGGCUCUUACCCCAUUUAUUCCGCUACUGCCUCCAGGGACAUGGUGCCGACGCAGCGCAAAGCCCGUGCAGCUCUGCUUCUUGCCCCGGGGUGAGCUAUGGCGAAGUCCCUGUUACAUCAGAGGACCUCGAAGCUGCUGCUGCAACACCCAGAGAGGCCCGGUUUGCACAAACCACCACCAAGACGAGGGCAGCACGGGCUAAAUCGAGCCGCUUUGGUGCGUGUGCCCUGACUCACGUUCUGUGCCGUGCCGUGGCACCACACCUGCCCCUUGAAGCUGAAAUUAUCCACUAUAAAAUUAUUUUUCCCAUGACACACGGCACAGCCUCCACGUCCUGCUAGUAGCAGCCCUCCCUUCGUUUAUACUUCCCACGUGCCCUCGUUUUGCUAUGAGUCAGCCGCGCUGGCCCUCUCUUCCUAUGACUUACACUUUCCUACCUCAGAGGACACGCGUGUCAGAAGACAUCUACGAUGGCCCCGUUUCUGGGCAGCUUCUCAUACAGCCGGCACCGCUCCCUUUGGGAAGCACCGCCAGACAGCCACCAGGUUCAGAUCAAACCCCAAUUAGCCCCGACGGUGGAAAAGGGAACGCGGAGAAGUCACCUUUGUUACAACCAAGCACCCUGGAGCUGCACGUAAUUCCGAUGCUGCAGGUACCUGGCAAGAGAGCAGCCCUGUGCGGAACCGGCAGGGAGGUGAGGACACCCCGGGGCCAUCCUUUGGCUACCGCUCCCCACCUUGCUCCAAGGUGUUGCUCCUAGCUCCAGCCCGUGAACAGGGAGGCCCAGGGCUACAAAGAGAAGUGGUGUCUAACACCUGUGUGACACCUCGCCUGUCACGGGCGUACACCACCCUUGUGGGACGUGGCAGCUCUACACAAACCCCAUCAGGCCCUCGGUAAACACGUUCCCGCAUGGCUUGCCACGAACAUCUCCCCAAAUAGGGAAGAACCUUGCCUCAAACCAACCCCAAACAGUUGCAGAGACACACGUGUAUUGACAAGAAUCACCCCGAGACCUUCACGCACUUUCUGAAUGCCGCGUGUGUGCCCUUUUGCCCUCCCACCCCCAGCAGCCCAAGGCUCAGCCCCGUGCCAUCAGCACCCCAGGUCCCCGUGCUCCGGCCGGGGCCUGUCCCCAUCUCCCACUCCCUGCACAGCUCUGACACCGGCCACGUCUGCAGCACCAGAGCAACCGCUCGAGGUGCAGCAAGGGCACAUGAGUCACUUUCCUCCUCGCCAGCGCUGUCUGCUCCGCUCUGCUCUGCCGGGGAUGACACAGUGCUCGCACUCACUGCUCCGAAGCAGCGCUCCGAGGCACGGGGCAGGUUACGGGUUCCUGCCUCCCUCUGGCUUUUGAGCUUCAGGAGCGGUGUUUUGUGCUCAGAGGGCCUCGCCGUCUGCUCAGCAGCAUGGAUUGCCAGCUUGGUGCUCCCCCCGGCUCCCCUCAGCCCCCCGGUGCGUUAAACCUUCCUGGGGGGCUGAGGGAGCGAGGCAGCAGCGCCGGGGCUGGCAAUCACCCCUGGGGGCUGGUAACAAGUGUGAAAGCAGCCGGCCUGCGAGGUGACACUGGCACGAGGUGACACUGGCACGGUGCUCCCGGGGCCACCCGGUGCGUCCCCCCGGCUGCUGCCACCCCGACCCCGGCCCCUGCAGUGGGGACAUCCCACGAUGUCCCGCCUGGCCGAGGGCAGGGGGCUAAGGGAAGGAGGCGAGGGCUGCACCCAAGCUAUUUCUUUUGCUCGUCCCUUGGCCGUAAGUUCCCUCGUCCCUCUUUGUUUUAUAGCCGCUCAAGUUUACUUGCAGAAUUAAGACAGAUUUGGGGGGGGGGGGGAAGGGGAGGGGGAGGAAGGGGGUAGGAAGCCUUUGUUCUCCGGAGUGCGCUUGUCUUACUUUUGCAUCAUGUGGCCUGAGCAGCCCCCCCACCCCUCCCCGGCCGUAUUUACUCUAUCUCGAGUGAGUCCUUUGAAGGAGAGGGCAGAGCCGUCGUUAACCCCCUGCGCGCCUCGCCGGGCCCUCGGCCUCCGGAGCCGGCCCCCGGUGGCUGCGGGGACGAGGGCCGGGGCCCCCGGGGUCGCCCCGGUGGCCGGGGUCGCCCCCCUUUUCCCUCCCCUCCCGUCCCACGCAGCCACGCGUGGACGCGGCCGGCCCACGGCAGCCGCGGGGAUCCCCGAGGCCGGGCCGCUGCCGGCGAUGCCUCCAAACUCGAAACAGCUGCGCUUUGGCCUGCCUGCUAAAAAUCCGCCGCUCUCCUUUUAAUCUGUUUCAUAUUCGCAAAUUAAGCACUUAGCCUAGGUAAUAAAUCACGCGGCAGUUUACGAGGCGAGCAGGAGACAAACAAGUGGAAAGGGAAAACAAGCGCCUCGGAGCGCAGCGCGCCGAGAUGCGAGCGCCGAGACGGAGACGCGCUCGGGAGCCUUGCCCCAGCCCCCCCCCCGGGAGCCGGCAGCGCCCCGGAGGCAAGCCGGGCUCCCUCCUUUGUCCGUCUGUCCGGCCGGCACCUGGCAGAGCCGGCAAAUAACGAGGCGGGCUGCUGCGAGCGUGGAAGGGGCCGACACGAGGGGGGAGCCCCCCUAAAAGCCAGCCGGGAGCCGCCGGAGGGGGUCGGAGCGGUGCCACCCGCGGCGACAGCGCGGGACUCCCCGGCGCUUCCCCGGGGGCUCCUGGCCGGGGGAAGCAGGAGAAGGCUCCAGACAAAAGAGCCGGAGCCGAGAGCCCUCCUGGCAAAGCCGCAGCCCUCCCCGAGUGCUCCGGCACGGACUUUUCUCCCCCCGCGGGGCUCCGCGCCGUGCCGAGCCGCGCCGAGCCGCCUGCGGGCGGGUGGGAGGGAGGGGAAGGGGGGGAUCCGGGGGCGCUGGGGGGGGUCGGGGGGCUCGUCAGCAGCCCCGGGGAGAGCCGAGGGUGAGGGUGAACGAGGGGAAGUCCCGCGGAAGGGAGCGCCACCGACCUGCCACCGCGUCCACCCGCUGCGAGGUGCCUAGCUCAUCGCUGCCCCCAGCCCGGGCUCCGCUUCCCGCAGCGCCCGCCGGCAACAAAGGCAGCGACCGGCGGCUUCUCCGCUCGCCUCCCGGAUCGGAUCGGAUCGGAGAUGCCCCGCGCCCCGCUCCGCCGCCUCGCCCCCCCCACCUCCCUCACCCCCCCCCC